UGGGGAAUCUUCGGCAAUGGGGGGAACCCUGACCGAGCAACGCCGCGUGAGUGAAGAAGGUUUUCGGAUCGUAAAGCUCUGUUGGUAAGGAAGAACGAGUGUGAGAAUGGAAAGUUCAUGCUGUGACGGUACUUAACCAGAAAGGGACGGCUAACUACGUGCCAGCAGCCGCGGUAAUACGUAGGUCCCGAGCGUUGUCCGGAUUUAUUGGGCGUAAAGCGAGCGCAGGCGGUUAGAAAAGUCUGAAGUGAAAGGCAGUGGCUCAACCAUUGUAGGCUUUGGAAACUGUUUAACUGGAGUGCAGAAGGGGAGAGUGGAAUUCCAUGUGUAGCGGUGAAAUGCGUAGAUAUAUGGAGGAACACCGGUGGCGAAAGCGGCUCUCUGGUCUGUAACUGACGCUGAGGCUCGAAAGCGUGGGGAGCGAACAGG
rnacentral:rRNA from 1 species